UACGGAGGGUGCAAGCGUUAAUCGGAAUUACUGGGCGUAAAGCGUGCGUAGGCGGUUCGUUAAGUCUGUUGUGAAAGCCCCGGGCUCAACCUGGGAAUGGCAAUGGAUACUGGCGAGCUAGAGUGUGUCAGAGGAUGGUGGAAUUCCCGGUGUAGCGGUGAAAUGCGUAGAGAUCGGGAGGAACAUCAGUGGCGAAGGCGGCCAUCUGGGACAACACUGACGCUGAGGCGCGAAAGCGUGGGAGCGAUCCGG
rnacentral:rRNA from 1 species